GACGAACCGUGCGAACGUUAUUCGGAAUCACUGGGCUUAAAGCGCGUGUAGGCGGGCCGCCGCGUCGGUUGCUGAAAGCCCCCGGCUCAACCGGGGAACGGGCACCGAUACGGGCGGCCUGGAGGGGAGUAGGGGGACCUGGAACUUCCGGUGGAGCGGUGAAAUGCGUUGAGAUCGGAAGGAACGCCCGUGGCGAAAGCGAGGUCCUGGGCUCCUGCUGACGCUGAGACGCGAAAGCCAGGGGAGCGAACGGG
rnacentral:rRNA from 1 species